rnacentral:lncRNA from 1 species
AGCCACACCUCCCCUGGCUAUGAUUGACAGAGCCAGCAUGAAAAAAAAUUGGUUUCACUUUCAAACAGAUUUAAUUUACCUUAAAUAAUUGUAUCUCAAUCUCUAAAUUGAACUUUAAUCACAUACAGGAGGCUAUUGCAGGGUCUAGCAAGCUAUUAACAUAGCAGGGGAUAAGAAAAUCUUAAUUAAACGGAACUUGCAAUACAGAAAGCCUAAAUAGGGCUCUCAUUACAGGAAGUGUUUAUGGAAAGCUGUGCAAGUCACAUGCAGGGAGGUGUGACUAGAGUUCAUAAACAAAGGGAUUUAACUCCUAAAUGACAGAGGGUUGAGCAGUGAGGCUGCAGGGGCAUGUUCUAUACACCAAAACUGCUUCAUUAAGCUAAAGUUGUUCAGGUGACUACAGUGUCCCUUUAACAUACAACAUGGCCAAAACAGUCUGGUACUGAAGGGGUUAAAAGACAGGGAAAAACAAAUAAGGCCCUAAAUACAAGAAAUAGGUGACUGAAACUUAAGUUUAUAACCCUUAUAAAUAAGCCAAAAAAAUAAAGAAAAAAAAAAUAGAUACAAAAUAGAUGUAAAGUAAAAUCUAUAUAUCUUACUUGAAUUGAUUCUUGUAGCCAUGUACCCAAAAGAAAAGAAAACAAUUGAAUGCAGUGAAAAUCCAUAUGACGCAAUAGUGUAUCUAUGAGCUACUACGUCAAAGAAAAACCCAUUAGUGGCAUAAACCCCAGAGAAUUUCAGACCGGAUAGAAUAAAUGUAUUUAUUUUUUUAAACUCACAGAUUUUAUUGUCGUCAUAACAAUGACAACAUAUAGUGUACAUAUAAAUAAAAUAAGCAUCUGUGUUGGCUAUUAAAUUACAUUGAAAAGGUACAUGAUAGAAUUCUAGGUGAGCUAGACUAGUAAUACCCACUUGUUUACUGUAUUGUUUCAGGGCAUGCAGUGAUGGUCUUCCACUGUUUAUGCUGCAACAUUGUAUCUCGAAAGCGACAAUGUUUUCAUUUGCAGGCAAAAAAUAAAUAAAAUAAAACACCAGGGGCACUGCACAAUAGACUGGGGUACAUAUGAAUUAUAGAAAACUAGACCUGGUGAAACUACACAUUUUGAGCAAAAGUCUUCAAAGUUAACAUUUAUUUUGGGGGUAUUAUUUCAAGUUAAUUUUGACACAGAUAUGCUGGAAAACAAUGUUUCAGUCCUUAUUUUCUGCAUUUAUGAUGUUCAAAGUUCCUGAAGAGAUGUGAAAAUUUCUAACCUUUGUUCCUUAGAAAUCAUGUGAAGUGUUAUAUCAGGCUCAUUUAAACCUAAUUUUCCUAGGCCUCCCACAGUCCUUUGUAAGUACUGCAUCUUAAAAUUAGCUUCUUUUUUUUAACCAUUUGCUGUAAAGUAGUAGAACAUAUUGCUAAUGUGUUCACCAGGGAAAAUGCUGGUGCAUUAUUAAUGAAGGCUGAUGGGAGAAACGGUAAAAGGGGAUAAAAUAUACUGAUGUAACAGAUUCCUGGAAACCAAACUUGUAGCUUUUCACCACUCACACCUUCCGGGAAUCUCAUGUGUAAGUUACCCCGGUAAUCACGUGACGAUAGGGCUGGGCAGGGCUGGUUAGUGAUACAUUAGAGCACAUUGUAAUGUAGCUAAAAAUCUAUGUAACCAUUUCUUAAAGAAACUUUCGCAGUCUGGGAAGGUGCUACAUAAAUGCUUUGUUUAUAAAUAUCUAAUUUAUCCAUGAUUUGAGUUUUUGCUUUGUUCAGUAAACAAUGAGUUGUGGUAAAUGCAAAAUUUAGGGCAAAACAAAAGGGCAAAAUAUCUUAUAGAACCAUGUUGCUCUUGUGGUGUGUUUUUGCAGGUUUUUUUUUGUUUUUUGCUCACAUUUUAGUGCAGAAGGAUGCAAAAUGAAGCCUUUGGGUGAAGUGUCAGCUGCAAAUAGAUGGAAUGUGUGAAGGGGUGAGUGAUUUAAGGAGAGCAGGAAAAUUACUUCUCAAGUGUUAUGCUAAUCGGAUAAACAUUACAUUUGUAUAGUAUUUCAGCAGGAUUGCCUAUAGCACCUGUAGAUGUUCAAUGCAUUGCCCUCUACACAAUUCAUUGUGUACCCCAUGAUACUUUGACUUCUUGCGCAAGUAUCGUGGGGUACAUAAUUAAAAUCCUGGAUCGCCUACUUUUCCGUCCUUGAUAAAAUUUAAGUCCGUAUCAUAGUGAUAUAGUGUAUUUUAAAGUGCUUUGUUGUCUAUCAAGGUGAGAAUACCUAGUGUAAGCACAUUUAUCUAGUUUUAAUCCAGUGUGGUAAACCUCUUUUUGCUGUAAAUACGUUUAUUUUACCAGAUUGUUAAAAUUGAUAAAACAUUCACUUGCUGACCUCAGUGUCCUGUAUAAUGCACUGGCACUCUUUUUUUAAAAUAUUAAUGCACUUCUGACAUCUUACACUGUGCACAAAAUGUACACAAUGCUCUACACAGCCUUUUCCAAGGACAAGCCGUUGUCACCCUUCAUGACACAUUGUUUUAUCUCCUACACAAGUGCUUUCCAUACCAAAACUAAACGUGUGUGUGUGUGUGUGUGUGUGUGUGUGUGUAUAUAAAAUUUCCUUUUUUUUUUUUUUUUUUUUUUGCCGUACAGACCUUAGGGAUCUUCAGCCAUCUUCUGCAGGAAAGGCAGUCUAUUUUGGAGGGAAAUUUAAAAAUCAAAUCCCUCCCCUGUUGCCUCCUAUCUGGACCAUAGAGCUGCCAUAUACCUCUAGUUUCCCUGAUAUCUCCUUGUCCUUGGCAGAGAAGAUAUUCUAACUUUGUACCAGCAGCACAGAGUGAGGUAUGCUGAUGCUCCUACAGGGCUUCAUCUGGUUCUUAAAGGGACAGUCCAGACACCCAGACCACUUCUGCCCGUGGAGUGGUCUGGGUGCCAACUUCAAUCACCCUCAAAAACUGCAAUAAUUACCUUGCAGGGUUAAGUCCUCCUCUAGUGGCUGUCUAUCACAGCCACUAGAGGGACUUCCGGGUUCUUAAAGCACAAAAAGUGUUUUAAAUGAUGCAAUCCACCGGGCCCCUGUUUAGUAGUAAUGUUUUCCCGGUGCUAAAAUCAUACCAUCGGGAAAACAUUCUGCGGCACCCCUGUGUGCACACAGUUUGGGAACCGCUGUUCUAGAUAACAACGGUUUGCUUUUCACGUAUGUCACAUCUGCUUAAUCAAAAGGGUAAACUAAAUUAAAUGUAUAAAAAAGAUACUGUAUAAUAUCCCAAAAGACCAAAUGGUAAUGCCAAACACCCAAAAAGUGUAAAAUUACUUUUUAAUUGUAUUCAUCUGUCACAUAUAUUGUGUGUCUCUCUCGAUAGAGAAUGUGUGUGUGUGUGUAUAUAUAUAUAUAUAUAUAUAUAUAUAUAUAUAUAUAUAUAUAUAUAUAUAUAUAUAUAUAUAUAUAUAUAUAUAUGUGCCUUUCCAUAAUGCAUUAUAAUCAUUUUGUCUUUUAGUUUUGUUUUUGCAAGUUUAAAUGACCACCGAAGUCACCCAGACAACUUAAUCGCAAUGACGCAAUGAUGUUGUCUGGGUGCAGUGGUCCUGUACUUUUAACCCUGUAAUGUGUAAAAAAAUAAAAUAUUUUCCAUAAAAACCUCAAUGUUUAAAAGCGACACUUCAGAACUCUAAAGCACUUUAGUUUGCUGAAGUGCAUCAUGUGUGAAGAGGAUUUCUUCUUUUGUUUUUCAGUUUUGAAAAACGUGCAGAUUUCGGUUGAAAUUGGCACUUUUUAAAAAUAAAUUAACCUUAUUAUGACCCCAGGCUAUUUAUCAGACAAUUGGUCCUGCUCCUGGUUCUUAAGCUCAGUGGAGCUAAACUCAAGAGGCAAACAAUUGCUCAGAGUGCCUGUUUUGCAAAGUUUUCUCAAUAAGUUGUAUUGGGAAGUCUGUGAUUUAGACCAGAAAGUCUGGGCUGGGUUAGGUUAGGGUUUGCAAAGGCUGCAGACAAGAGAUCUGCAGGUUUUGCAAGCUGCGCUAGCUAUAUCGCCAAUAACUAAAAAUUUAUAAUUAAAUCCAUGCAUGUUUUCAUAGACAUUUGUGAGAUACGAUAUAGGUUUCCUUUAAAAUAAUGUGAACAAGUCUGUUUUUAAUAGAACAUUAAUACUGAGCUAGCCAGUCCUCCCACUCAUUGAUGAGAUGCAAUAUUGUGAAGGGAUCACCUUUCUCAUUCUGCUAAGCCAAAAAAGAGAGACAAAUUUUUUUUUUUACUUUGUUUUAGCCUUAAAACUUGGAUAACAUAUUUUUAGUUACACACUGUUCUGUCCCACAAACUAAAUCAGCGCUUUUUAUGAAACUUGCAAGAGGACAUUUGUUUGGAAAUUUUUAUUUUGUAGUUGGGAUUCAUAUUAAUACGUUGAAUUGGUGUGGACCAGUGUAAUAAACCUUAUUUUGUAAUAUUUAUAAUUUAUCUUUGCAGUUAUCGGUUUUACACACGGCAUGUCUCUAUUCAGACUGCUAAAUGUGCUUACCUACUGCAAAAACCUUUAUUUACCGUUUGUGGGUCUCAAACAGUGAAGGGGUUUAACAUGCUCCCAGAACGGGGUAAGAAUCCAUAUGCUCAGGAACACUGUAUCCUUUCAUGCAACUUGAUUUAUUUCUUGUCAUACAAACCUAAUUCACUGUCAGGUAUAACUUGAGAGUGCCAUGAAUCUGUCAUCGGUCUCAUUCCCCCAAAUACGAUCAUUGCAAAAUAAUUGAACAGACCCGCAAAAAAAAAAAAAUAUCUACUCCCCAAAACUUGUACAUGUUAAUAUCAAAUACAUAUCAAUCACUUUAAUAUUCAUUUACUGACCAGCUUCUUCUACUUCCUUCCUAUUUGUCCACCGCAUCUGGAGUCAUAAAUUCCUUCUGAGAGCUGAGGUCAUAUGGAAAGGAAAGAGGUUUGAUCUCAAAUAGAGAAAGGUGAAAAAUGCCUGCAUCCCGUCUCCUCCUUGUUAUAUUGUUUUGAAACUGAGCCGUUUAGAUUUUUUUUUAUUUAAACCCAUCUUCUGCUGAAUAAUUACGAAAACUAUAUGGCAUAGAUGCUUUUUAGUCUGGUCACCUUUCCAAGGGCAGGGCACUAAUCCACCUGUAAAUCUGUAUGUUUUGUGUGAUGUACUGUAGAUUUAUUGAAAAGGUGAUAUGAUCCAUAAUCUCGUUUGUAUUCAUGAUUGUAAUGAUAGAAAUGCCUCCUCAAUGGUAUCUUAAAUAUAUUGUAAGGUGUCCUUAGGGUAUCAGCAGUAGUAAGCGUGUCCCAUCUCCGUGUUGUUGAAGGCACCUAAUUAAGGAGGCCAACAGUGUCAUUAUAAAGUCUCUGUGUGACUUAGGACCAAUGCUAAUAACCUGUAUUUUUUUUUUCCCCCCUGUUUUGCAGCACCAAUGUGGUAAUGAAUUAUUCAGAAAUAGAGUCUAAGGUUCGAGAGGCGACCAACGAUGACCCCUGGGGACCUUCUGGGCAGCUCAUGGGAGAGAUAGCCAAGUAAGUAAUCACUGAUUUCCCGAGAGGAGUUAGAAAAUUAUUUUCGAGUUACAGCUUCUUCUGAGCAAGGGCCUGCAGAAAGUUGGAAUCCCCCACUCACCCUACUUGCUUGAUGCUUUUGGUUUCUGUUGUCAGUGGAGAUGCCCUUUGUACAUUUUCCCCACUUAUUUAGUUUUCAGUUAGACAAGUCUCUUUCUUUGACUUAAUUGUAGGGACUUUUAAAACUGCGAUUUAAAAUUAGUUAUUAGUUAGUGUUUGGUUUAAAAAAUCUUCUUUGUGAGUAAGUCAAAAUAUAUCUUAUUCUGAGUUAAUUUUUUUCUAUCAAUUUUUUAAAAUGUUUUAUAUCAUUUUAGCAAUGUUACUCUGUAGAACUGAUUAUUGUAGAAAAAGAGAUACUGAUAUCCUCAGGUGUAUAAUUAAAAAAAAAAAGACAAACAAAUAAUACUGGGGAGUUAGCCAGCUCUGUUGCAGUAGUCUGUUAGUAACUUGCUCAUCUAGGAAGCCUUUUGUAAUGAAAUGUUCUACAUUUAUAAUAAACCCCAUGUCAAAUUGUUUCAACUAUUCAUUUAACUAAAAUUGUACUCUAUUCGCCUGUCACGUAGUUGUAAUGUUUGUUUCUUUAAAUGGAAGUGAAAGUCUGCCUUAUCUCCAUUUCACUUAAUUUUUCUUGUUUAUACCAGUGAUGAAUAUGCAUGUCCCAUGUCACUAAUGGCAUAGUAUAGUUUAUUUUUCUUGCGGUAUGCUGAAAUGACGUAUGGAAGCUUUCGAGGGCGAAGUCAGAGCUCACUUGAUGUGUGACCUGAGAGUGCAACAACUAUCUGAAGUAGUGUAAUCCUGCUAUUCUUUAAAAGACAUCAGAUAGCCAAAGUAAAAUAGUUAAAGUUGCAUAGCCUCUCCUUACAGCUCUUGCUCAAUUAAAGGAACUGUAUGGGCACCAUAACAACUUCAUUGAGAUGAAGUUGUUAAUGUGCCCAGAGGUCCCUAGCGCUUUCUUACCUGAAGGGGUUAAACUGUUCUCGAAUGAUUAAACCCCACAGUUUGUACUCAAGGGCAGGAUCUCCUUUUCCUCAGCGGCAUCCAGCUAGUUCAAUAGAGUUUCAGGAAGAGCCGAGUACUUCUGGGCAGAGGCGCCGCUCAUUUGCUAGAUUGGGUAGCUAAUGAGUAGCUCAUUACAUAGCUUGCAAAAAAAGUAAUGAUGGUCCAGGCACUUAAGUUUAAUCCAGUGGUUAGAUUUAUUGGAGAAGAAUCAAAACAACGUUUUGGCCCACGAUAGGGCCUUUAUCAAUCCAUACUUGUAAUUAUAAUACAUAAUUUGGCAUGUGAUUGACACCAGACUGCCAUGGCAUGUCUAAAACUAUACUCCCUUAGCGGAACUGUCACCAUCUGGGAACUUUGUAUAAUGGGGUGUGCAGGCACAGGUAAUUUUAACUUAACAUUUCCAUUGUAAGCGCUGCCGUCCUCUUCUGCUCUUGGCCCUUCAGCUGUCAGGAGUCAGUGUCAUUGCAGUGCUCUCACAGUGACAGCUGGAAGAUUGGCACUUCUUGAUGGCGGUAGCUCUGCCCAGUGUUAAGUGUCGUAAAUAGAAAAAAUACUGAGACAAUGUAGUCCCUGCUUUUGUUUCAGUAUAUCUUUUGACUGGGUUGGAACUUUAGUAAAAUUCCAACACAGUCAAUGAGUAUUUCAUAAAGAGUUUAUGAAAUUUUAUGGGGCGAUUGAGGAUGACUGUGCUGCUAUAAUGAAUUUUGAGACUUUUUUUUUUUUUUAUCUCAAAGAAGACAACCAAAAGCUCUUAUGUACAAAACUCAAAAUGUUUGUUUUCAAAAAAGACCAGCAUGCUUUAUAAUGGGCAGAGCCCUGAUGAUCUGGAACACAUGGACCUGUCAUCUGUGAAUGUAUGGGUGACAAGGUUCUCUUCAUGCAAGCUCUAAUAUUGUAUCAAAUUUACAAGGAAGUGUACAGACUAAUUUCCAUCAAAAAAGGGUAGUUGUACAGACUAAAUUUUAUGCUGUAACUGCUUUAAAUUUAAGCAGCAUAAAAUAUAGGUAGAAUCAUGGUGUGCUACACCAAGUAGCUUGUCACAGCUGACUGGCAGAUGCAUUCACAGUUUUUUUUAAUUCAAUUAUUCUAUGUCUCCUUUUAAAUCAUUCAUCCUGCACCCAGUUCGUAAAGAGCAACAAUAUGGCAGGAAUUACCAAUUUCUUUCCCAUUAAAUUUGGGGUCAAUUACUGUUCUUAGUAUAGUAAAAGGUAAGCCAAUGCCAAGUGACCAGAGUAAUUUAUUUUAGCUAUUGAAAUUCCUCCACUGUGUGUUUUCUAGCUGUGCACUAGUACUGCCCCUCUAAAUUAUACAGGGGUUGAACUUGUGGAAGGGUGUUAAGUUAAGGUAGACUGUAUCGCCAAAUAAACUCUGUACUCUUAAUUGCUUUAAAUUAAAAAAUAUUUUGAAAGAGAUGCUUGCUUCAUUGUGCUGAUAAGAAAUAGGGCUGUAAUAUUGUUUUAAAGGGAGCAUAGUUUAUCUUCUGGCCCGCAAAGUGGGUAUCCUGCUUAUUCUUUCUUUGUCACGUCACUGUCUCACAGUUAAUGAGUGUUAAUAUUUAAUAGACUCCUCCGGACUGAAAACCACUGGCGUAUGUAUAACAUUCAUUACAGCGUGCAUUGGCAGUAGUAUGCAAAAUCUAAUUGACUGAAUUAAACAUGAAACAACCAGGAGUUCAUGCUUGUUAUGUCAAAUGACCGUAGACGUCUGGAACAGGAGCAGAAUGGUUCACUUCUGUUGUUAAUGUUGAUAAAUAACUAUUGAAGACCUGAGUGGCCAGAUCAGCAUCACAGAAUAAGAAACAACUUGAUCUUGUGUAAACUAAUCUGAACAACUGAAGGGGACCAGGUACCUACAGAACAUGUCUGCAUUAUAGAAUCAAUUAGACAUUUUUGGUAUAUAUUAUACCCAAAUUACCAUCUCAUAUGCUGUUUUCCAGGCAUGAAUCUGACAUCUUUCCUUAUUGGCUGCACUUAAUUACAUUCAUAAUGCAUGAAAAAAAAAUCAAAUUUAAUUUAAAAAGACAGAUACAUUUCUAGAUUUUCCAGGGGCCAGGAAUUGACCGACAUUGCUGAGCCAACCUUGGUCCUCCUUCUGUAAUCAGUGAAAGUAAUGUCCAUAUCCUAUAAAAUAAGGACGUCCUUACCAGGGAAUUUAUCAUGGAUUAUGUAGUUCAGCUGUUUCUAUACUAUUCAUGCACAAAUGUGUUUGCAAGGCACAGAAAUGUACACCUACCCGCUAGCCAUUGAGAAGUGAAAAUUCUGCCGUGGCAAGUAGAAACCUAUCCCCGAUGAGUGUGUCGUGGGACUUUUACGCUUGCAGUGACUAGUAACCUUUAGGCCUGGCAAGUAGUGUUGAGUAUUUGUAUGAAAUCAUCCUGCAAGCGUAUAAAAGCAGAAAUUGUCAUGAAAUUGGGCAUUCUGAAUUGUGACUGAGGCUUUACAGGCUCUUCCAUAGAGAACAAUGAAAAUACCUGAUCACUUAGGAUUUGCUCAGCUUGAGUACACAGUCGGCACAAAAGUAUACAUCCGUAGGUUCCCCUGUAAACUCUAAUCUGCAGUAUAUAUACUUUUAUAAUCUAUACAAUACUUAUAGGACCUGAUGAUUUUUGCUGUUGACCUGCAUAGAUCGAUAUGUAACCUGGAAUUGAGUUUGUAAUUCCAAAGCCCAGAAGUAGAAAGUUAAUGAUCGUUUAUUGCAAUUAGGAGCUGCUGUGGUAUAUAAAAUCUGAAAGUGUAACGUUUGGGGUGAAUGGGCUCUGUAUCCAGAGGAAGAACACAGCAAAGUCACCUUAUGGAAAGUCUCUGAACAAUUAGUCACAGUAGGCAGGAUAAUCCAAAGGCAAGACCAGGCAGCAAAAGUCAAGGACCUGGAAACAAGCAGAAAGUCUUUAGUAGGAUAAGACUGGCAAAGCUUGAAGCCAGGCAGCAGAAUUCAGGAUCAGGAAACACAUUAUACAUUUCUUGGACAUUACAGGCAGAGGAGACUUGUAACCUCUAGGGAGCUCCAUUCAAAUAGAAAAGGGAAGACCUUCCACGAGGAGGCAUCUAUAGGUCUAUUUCAGUAGAUGGCCCCUAUCAGAGUAGAUGUCGACGCCCCCCUUUGUAGAUUGGAUGCAAUGCUGGAUUUCCAGUUUCUCUUGUUAAACAUAAACUUCUGUUUUGUGUUCCAUAAUUAAUGUGUGUUUCACUCUGAUCCAGUGUAUAUUAUAAAAUAAACUGGUAUGAAGAAUUCCUUAUAAAGAACUAGCUCAAACAAUUAUGGUAUCCUAUUCAUAAAGUAAGAGAUAGCUAGAUAAGACAUUAAGGAUCACACAAACCAUGCAGAAAUAAUAAAAUUGUAAUAGUAAUUCAAAAAAUAAAUGCUCAAAAAUAAGAAUGGAAAUAAAAUAGUAAAAUGUAAAAUAAGGAAAUAAAUAUCAAGAAAAGUUUUUUUAAAAAUGAACUAAAAUAUAUAAAUAAGAACAAAACAGAAUGACUAAAAAUGUUCUAGUAAAAUAAACAUGUUAAGGCCAUGAGGCCUUUUGUCUUCCUUGUUGGUUCCUUUUUUUGGACCCAGUUGGCUUAUAUCUUUGAUCAAGAAGACUUGUACUCUGGCUAUCAAACCUGCCCUGGAAAAAAACUCGAAUGAGAUUAUAUUGCAAUAAUUAAUUAACUUCGGCAUUGGCUACCUCGUGGGUCAUUUGCCAUGAGGCUUCUGUGGACCGAAUCUGCAAGGCAGCCACUUGAUCAUAUUUACAUAUAAUUUACAAAUUAAUGUAAAAAAAAAAAAAAAAAUGUUGUGUUCGUGUCCACUAUUAUUACUUUUGGGUACAACGUACUUUGGGAAGUUGUUCCCCUUUAUUCACCGUCACAACCUAUGUUUUGAAGGCACUUUUUUUUUUUUUUUUUCUUGCUAUGUUUGGUAUGGGGUCAGAUACAUCAUGACUUGUGGGCUGUCUCCAUCCAAGGAAGGAAAACUGUAUGCAUGUCUUAAAGGGAUUCUAACCCGUUUUCCUGGCACUGCAGGCUCUUGGAGAGCCUCCCUUCACCCAUUUACCUUAAUCCAGCCGGGCUCUCUCAGCGCUGGUGACCUCUCCUACCCGCUGACGUCAGCUCCUGAGUGGCGCCGCAUGCGUGGCCAAAGGUGUGCGCGCAUUCAAACUCACCCAUUGGAAAGCAUUACUCAGUGCUUUCCUAUGGGAAUCGUAUUUGACGCUGGACUCCGUGAGGACGUCCCGGGUCAGAUAAAUGCGAUUUACUCCGUGUAAAUAGCGGAGGCGGCAUCUAGUGGCUGUCAUGGAGACAGCCACUAGAGGCUGGAUUAACCCUGCUGUGUAAACAUAGCAGUUUCUCUAAAACUGAAGUGAUCUGGGUGCCUAUAGUGGUCCUUGAACUGUUAAAUUAAUUUCCAUUCUAAUAGGGAGAGACCAAAAGGCCUUUCAUUGGAUUGAAGUGUAUUUGUUUGUGCUUCAAAUGUCCUGUUAACUUUGUUGUUUAUGCCAUUCCUCCUCUUCUGCUUCUUCAUAUGUAGAACUGAUUGUUAUAGAUGAGGGAAGGAGCUAGAAGGGGAUUCACAUGCUGAAAAGUUGCAUUAAGGUUGUUUCUACCUUCUGCGGUUGGGAGGGACGUUAUCACAUAUGUCACAAUUUCUUGGCUCUCACCAUCUGUCAUGUAAGAUCCUGAAAUGGCUUCCUUUUUAUAUUUAGGACUUUUCUAUAUUAUUCCAUUUUUACUGUGUGUUGUUCUAACCAGUGUACUUUAUUUAAAAAAAAUAAAAAUAAAAAAAAAGAUGGUAGGUUGAUUUGGUCUCAAGUAUAGCAACACAAACUAAAUUUUUCCCUAACCAUAGAUAUACAGUAUCCUUAUUCAGCGGUCUUCCUCCAUCUAGUGGUUGAGUUGCAAAGCACAUAAAAGCUUAUACUUUCUACUCAUUCUUUGUUUCAGGGCAACAUUCAUGUAUGAGCAGUUUCCAGAAUUGAUGAACAUGUUGUGGCAGAGGAUGCUGAAAGACAACAAAAAGAACUGGCGUAGGGUUUACAAGGUAA